rnacentral:rRNA from 1 species
AGGACGAACGCUGGCGGCGUGCCUAACACAUGCAAGUGGAGCGACGACCCAGGCUUCGGCCUGGUGCAAAGCCGCGAACGGGUGAGUAACACGUGGGUAACCUGCCCCGAUGAUUGGGACAACCCGAGGAAACUCGGGCUAAUACCGAAUGUGCCCUACAGCCGUAAGGUUGCUGGGGAAAGGAAGCUUCGGCCUCCGCAUCGGGAUGGGCCCGCGGCCCAUUAGCUUGUUGGUGAGGUAAUGGCUCACCAAGGCUACGAUGGGUAGCUGGUCUGAGAGGACGAUCAGCCGCACUGGGACUGAGACACGGCCCAGACUCCUACGGGAGGCAGCAGUUAGGAAUUUUCCGCAAUGGGCGAAAGCCUGACGGAGCAACGCCGCGUGAGUGAUGAAGACCUUAGGGUUGUAAAGCUCUGUCGGAGGGAAGAACACAAUGACGGUACCCUCCAAGAAACGCCCGGCUAACUACGUGCCAGCAGCCGC